AGUGAACGCUGGCGGUAGGCCUAACACAUGCAAGUCGAACGGCAGCACAGUAAGAGCUUGCUCUUACGGGUGGCGAGUGGCGGACGGGUGAGGAAUACAUCGGAAUCUACUUUUUCGUGGGGGAUAACGUAGGGAAACUUACGCUAAUACCGCAUACGACCUACGGGUGAAAGCAGGGGAUCUUCGGACCUUGCGCGAUUGAAUGAGCCGAUGUCGGAUUAGCUAGUUGGCGGGGUAGAGGCCCACCAAGGCGACGAUCCGUAGCUGGUCUGAGAGGAUGAUCGGCCACACUGGAACUGAGACACGGUCCAGACUCCUACGGGAGGGAGCAGUGGGGAAUAUUGGACAAUGGGCGCAAGCCUGAUCCAGCCAUAGCGCGUGGGUGAAGAAGGCCUUCGGGUUGUAAAGCCCUUUUGUUGGGAAAGAAAAGCAGCAGGUUAAUACCCCGCUGUUCUGACGGUACCCAAAGAAUAAGCACCGGCUAACUUCGUG
rnacentral:rRNA from 1 species